rnacentral:rRNA from 1 species
GACGAACGCUGGCGGCGUGCUUAACACAUGCAAGUCGAACGGAAACGCCCUGCUUGCAGGGUACUAGAGGUGCGAACGGGUGAGUAACACGUGGGUGAUCCGCCCUGCACUUUUGCGUAAGCUUGGAAAACUGGGUCUAAUACCGGAUACGACCGCACAUCAGCGUGUGUGGUGGAAAGUUUUUCCGGUGUUGGAUGAGCUCGCGGCCUAUAGGCUUGUUGGUGGGGUAAUGGCCUACCAACGCGCCGAGGCGACGCCGGCCUGCGGGACUGUGCGGCGACAUUGAGACUGAGGUACGGCCCAGGCGCGGACGAGAGGCAGCGGGGGGGAAGAUUGCUCCAGGGGCGCAGGCCGGAUGCAGCGACGCCGCGGGGGGUAUGAAGGCCUUCGGGUUGUAGACUCGUUGCGCUAGGGACGAAGCUUUUUGUGACGGUACCUAGAGAAGAAGCACCGGCUAACUACGUG